GUGUAUGUAAUUUAAAAAAAAAUAUCAAGCUGUGACCCUGACAAUAGGACCCCCUCAUACAC
rnacentral:tRNA from 1 species